CCCCGUCCGCCCUCCCCGCCUCCACCGCGCCGCCGCCCCUCCACCGCCUGCGCCGCUUCCCUCCCCUCGCGUGGACGCAUGACGCCGACGCCCGCCCGUUCUUCCCGUCGCCACUCGCACGGCCGACGCUGCCACGCUUUCAGCCGGACAGUCGUCGUUUGGCGAUGCCCCAUGAACCCGUCGGCCCUCGCUGCCUCACCCCGUCUGCGGCCUGCCCCGGAUCCCGGCGGCCCCUGGCGGCCUCGCCCACCGACCGCCACGCGGCCCCCCUGCCUGGCGUCCCGGCCUAUCUUGGCGCAGACGCGCAGUCGCGUCGUCCCCGCGCUAGCGCGGUCCUGAUCCCUGCCGCCCGCCGCCCGCGGCUGCGCUCCGCCUGCCAUGGCCCCUGGCCGCCUGCCGCCCUGCCCGUCACUGGCUGCCAACCUCCGCUCGGCACCCUGGCCUGCCUACUUGUCUGUAUAUAUACUGUGAGUAAGACCGUUAAAUAUUGCAAUUUCAAUUCCUAAUUCCCUAUUCUACUUGCUUGAUUAUUUGUUUGCAGUACUAGCUAGCCCGUGGAAAUUUUCGUAAUUCCCUAUCUGAACCUGGUGGGGAGAGUAUUUGGUUCAACACAUGGGUCCGAUCAGUUUCCCCUUGCUAGAUUCAUCUUAUCAGGAUGCUAAUUAUGUUAGUUUUUCUUGUUUGAAAAAAAAUUACUGGUAGAAGUAACAGCGGUGGAAGAAAGUAAUUAGACUAUUAAUUGGGCAUAUUUCGCUGUGUCUGGUGACGCUUUCGACAAAUGUCCAUACAACCCUAUCAACGAUCUGUUGUUGGGUGCAAACGUGCAAUCAUUUCUUGCUUGGCGGUUCAACAGUAGAAAUUUGAUUAACCAAGCGCAUAUAGGAGGAUUGGACACCAUUGUCAUCCUGGUUGGAUAGCCGAUUUGGAAGGAAAGGAACAGCAAGGUCUUCAAUGGCCUCCACAAAACCUGGAAGGAGGUGGCCGGCACUGCAGUGGAGGAAGCUCGCUUUAGCAUGAAGCCAACAAGCCAAUCUAAGGAAGAACGGCUUGGUCAUAGUCACACAAUCAUUAGCGAGAUAUUGCCUUGGUAUUCUAUUGCUUUUUUUCAGUUCCUUUCUUUUGUCCUUCAUGUACAUACUUUCUGCAAGUGUGCUGGUACAAAACCCUCAAUCUUAAUACAAAGACACAUUUUGGUGUGUUUUCGAAAACAAAACGAUCUCACGCUGGGUGAAGAAGUGAAUCACUGCAACUUUAUGAACUGGUUAGCGGAUGGUUGUUGGUGUUCAAAGUAAUUUAAGCAGUGAUAUUUUGCAGAAUUUUCUUUUCCCCUUUUUCUUUGCGGUCUGCUUUGGCAAGUCAGCCAUAGCAACCCAAUUAAUAAUAUGUUUCUAACUUUGUGUUCAGAGGAAUAAUUUUUUCCUUACUGAUAUUACUUGGUUGUGUCUUUACUUGGUGAAACAUUUGAUGAAGUGAACUUCCCUUGCUGGAUUAUGUCUUUGUUCAGCUUAUCUGCACUAUCCAAUAUCGAGUUGUUAAGGAACAUGCUGAUGAUGCAUUCUAUGAGCUGCAGAAUCCCUAGCAGCAAAUUAGGCCUACGUCUUUGAUGUGGUCCGAUCCAUAGUUCCAAGAAUGAAUCUUGAUGAUAUUUUUGAGCAAAAGAAUGAUGUGGCGAAAGCUGUACUUGAGGAGCUUGAAAAGAUUUGGUUCAUAUAUUGAUUGAUUGCACCAUGCGCCUUUACCAUAAUUUCCCUUUUUAUUGUUGUAGUACUCUGCUUGUUUCAAAAUUAAAAAGUUUCAUUGGAUAUCUUCUUGCCACUUUUUAUUAAGUUUGAUUAUAGAUAUUUUGUUCUUGUUAAUUUUGUUUUUGUAUGAAAGUUAGAUGCACUUCUUUUUUGUCAAGAUAUGCUAGGCAGUGUUUGCAUGACACACUUUUGCUUCCUUUACGGGCAAUUCUGCCUGCUUAAGUGUCCGUAAGUAGAUCUAUUGACAUGUUUUUGUAGCAGGAGAUUUUAUAUUGUUUCCAUUGCUACCAAGCAUAUUUUUCUUUAGCAAAGGGUUCAUAUCGAAAAUAUCUGUGCUGAUAUCAUGUAAAUUUGUUUGAUAUAAUUUGUAUAAUUGGUAAUAUUCUGUGCACUGCUUCUCCAUGAUUGCUUUGUCUUAUCACCAAGGUGACUGGAGAACCAUUAAUUCAAGGGAAAGAUGACACAGCUGCAUUAUUGAAGUCAAGGCUUGUAUGUUUUCUUAAGCGUCUAUGUUUUUUAAAUAUUCAGAUUUUUUCCAGGAUAAAACCUUAUUUCAGUUAAGGUGUAUUCCUUCAGUUGCAAUUCAGUAUUUCCUGCUUGUCUUUCAUUCUUUUUUUUUUUGUUCUGAUGGCAUUUUGCAGACCUUACAUUUCUAGAUUUAUACUUUUCUUCCAUUUGUGUGUUUGUUUAGUAGAGCUCCAAGAAUUCUUUACUCGUGGUAUCUCUAGAUCCAAAAAUUCUUUGAGCUAAAACUGGGAGUAGAAUAAGGUUUCUUAGGUGAAUAUUUUGUUUAUAAAAACUAUUUUUGCCUACAAAUUCCAUAUCGUUUAAAAUUCAUGUGUUAGAGCUCUCUAUAUUUCAUGCUUAAUAUGCAUGACUAUAUAAUACAUUUAAUCGUUCUUCAGCCAAACAUGCAUGUGCCAAAAACCCUUUUGACUGGUUUUCUAGAUGUUUAAGCUGACACCAACACCUUGUAAUUUUCAUUUUGAUUUGUUGUAUCCGCAGUUGCUCCAUUUUAUCACAGCUUUCACUCAAGUCUCAGGAAUUUGUUAAAAUAAUUUGUUGGAAUGAGGAAAGAAAUUUAGUGUUGAGAUAACAAGGCUGGUCAUAUUUGAAACAAAUGAAAAUUCAGAAGAUAAUAGGUUUCUAAUUUUGAUCUUGUUUUGUGUUACAGCCGUUGCCUCUAUCUCUGCCUCUGCUGGCAAGUGGCAAUGAUGAACUUAUUGGAUCUAUGAUUGCUGAUGCUAUUGACAAAGUUGGUCCUGACGGUGUCCUUUCAAUUGACUCUUCAUCUUUCGAGAUUACUGUUGAUGUUGAAGAAGGAAAGAAGGUGUUUUGAAAAUUCAACCUACAGUUUUGUUUCCCUAUUCUUGAUGUGCAACUUGAGAUUCAUAUAUAGUAUUCCAAUAAAUAAAUAGUAUGACGACAACUUCCUCAAGCAUUUAUAAAUUUUGGUGUUCGAAGAUGUUUUAGAUGCUGGAGUCGCCGACAGUGCUGAUGCUCUGGAAAGGACACGGUCAGUCAAAUUACUAACACGUUUCAUUUUUGAAUGUAUAAUUAGGUUUGCUGACCUUAGUGUAUUUUUUUGGCAUUCACAAUGUAUUUUUAGAUAUUGUCAUGUACACGCCCUUUUUUAUUUAUUAAGUCAGGGUUCACUAAACCGUUUCACCCAUUGAAGCUGAUCCCCUGUGGUAGCGUGAUUAUCACGUGAUAACCGUGAAAACUGCGAUGAAUUUGUCUUCCAAAUUUGAAUUCAAAACCGGAGAUGAUACUGGCAGCAAA